rnacentral:rRNA from 1 species
GAUGAACGCUGGCGGCGUGCCUAAUACAUGCCAGUCGAGCGAACAGACGAGGAGCUUGCUCCUCUGACGUUAGCGGCGGACGGGUGAGUAACACGUGGAUAACCUACCUAUAAGACUGGGAUAACUUCGGGAAACCGGAGCUAAUACCGGAUAAUAUAUUGAACCGCAUGGUUCAAAUGUGAAAGACGGUUUUGCUGUCACUUAUAGAUGGAUCCGCGCCGCAUUAGCUAGUUGGUAAGGUAACGGCUUACCAAGGCAACGAUGCGUAGCCGACCUGAGAGGGUGAUCGGCCACACUGGAACUGAGACACGGUCCAGACUCCUACGGGAGGCAGCAGUAGGGAAUCUUCCGCAAUGGGCGAAAGCCUGACGGAGUAACGCCGCGUGAGUGAUGAAGGUCUUCGGAUCGUAAAACUCUGUUAUUAGGGAAGAACAAAUGUGUAAGUAACUAUGCACGUCUUGACGGUACCUAAUCAGAAAGCCACGGCUAACUACGUG